GAAAAGUCUACUAUGUCUGGAGCAGCAACUAGAUAUUUACCUUCUUAAUAUAGGUUGCAAAAAGAAAUGUGCAUUUCUAGAACCUCAUGCCAAUUUGUGAAGUACAAAUGUAACAGUUACUGUAAAUUAGAAUGCUACAUGUAAUCUUUAUUGUGUUUUUUUUUUUCAUUUUUUUUUUUUUAAACAUGGAGUCUUGCUCUGCUGCCCAGGCUGGAGUACAGUGGUGCAAUCUAGUUCACUGCAGCCUCAAACUCCCGGGAUUAAGCAAUCCUUCCACUUUAGCUUCCCAAGUAGCUAAAGUUCCAAGUAGGGACUACAGGCAUGCACCACCAGUUCAGGUAGAGAAGUAAAACGAACGGAAGAAACAAAGUGGAAGAAGUCCCAAGCAUAUUCUGAGUAUUUAAAAUCUCCAAAGGCAUUUCGCCCAUUCCCCUAACAAUUAAACUUGAG
rnacentral:lncRNA from 1 species